UUUAUUUUGCUCUUCAAUUCUUAACAUGUUCCUGAUUAUUCUGUGUAGGGUGAAACUAGAACUGUUUAAAAUACAUACACAAAUUUGAGUACAUCAAUAACCAGGUUUUUUUUGUCCAUGCUUUUUUUUGCUAGACUAUUUUCACAACCACGUGUGUGCUAGGUAAUAAAACCAACACAGAAGCAAACUUUAGGCAGAAUACUGGUCAGUUAAAAACAAAGCAAAAUAGAGCUACCAGAUAUACACACAGGCUCAGUUCCACAAGCACAAGUCUUAACUGCACGGUUUUGUUCGACUUAGGAAAUUUGAAAAUCAGUGCAUGAAUUUUUCUACGAAGCAGACAGAUGGACAGACACCUAGAAAAGAUACAGCCACGUGGAAUGGUAAAAAGGGGAAUGAUGUGGUUAAAUUGGGACAGUGAUUACAAACAGAAUACAGUACAGCACUGUUAAAUACAAUUUACCAAUUGUUAUUUUAGGUACUGCCAUAGUACUAUCUAGAACACAUUGCUGAAUAACUUAAUGUUGCAAUAUCACCAAUAAUGAUUAGGGAGUCGUUGGAGGAACAUAAAAAUUGCAUGGUAGAGAAUUUAUAUAUUGGAAGCGUUCAACCUAAGUGGGUUGUGCAAAUAGGUUUCAACAGAAUAAUAGGAUCAGGAAGGGCAAGCAGAACAACGUGUAAUUUGAAUUAAAAAAAAUGAAAUGUAAACAGUUAAAAUACUGUGAAAACAUAUCCCCAAA